ensembl:lincRNA
UAGUUUCAUCCCUCCUGCUUAAUAUGGUGUCCAAUAAAACCUUGAAUUGCUGAAAUUCUUGCUCUCUGUUUCAUGUUUCGUCUUUGUUUAGUUGUGAAGUGUCUGCCGUUCCCCGUAUGAGAAAACUUCCUCUUCAGUUGGUGAGAUGCUGUUUCCUCAUGUGUCAGUGUGAGUCUCUCUGCAGAGCACACACACUCACACUUAAAAUCUUCUCUUGUGGAUGCUGGAGUUGAGGAAGAUCAUGCUGGUGUUUGGGCUGCUGCUGCUGAUACUGCAAACUGCUGCAUGUGUGGAGCGGUUCUGCAGUUUUACUCAGUCAGAUCCCUGUUAUGCAGCUCUGGGACACAAACUCAACCUGCAGAUGGUGAACGCCAGUAAAUAUAAACUGACCAUAAUAAAGAGAAUAGACAACACAGAUGAUGCAGCUUGUAGAGUAAGAAAUGACACAAAGAGAGCAAAUGAAUGUGAUCUUUAUAUAAACAGACCUGAAGUGAAAAUCAUUAAUGGGACUGUGAUGAUAAACCCGGUGAAGAGAGAAGAUUCAGGAGAUUUCAGAAUACAAUUUAAUAAUCCUGACGGCACAGAAACAUCUCAAGAUCUUCAGGUGAAUGUUGAAGCUCCUGUUGGCUCAGUGGAAGUGUCAGUCAUCUGCUCCUCCAAUCAGAUGAGGUCAGUGUCCUGCUCCUCUGAGGGGGAUCAGCUCCUCUACAGCUGGACUCUCAAUGGAGAAACACUGAUGGAUGAAAACAGGAACAUUUAUCUUGAAGAAGGAACUGAAGGAGAAAUCACCUGCACUGUGAAGAACCACGUCAGUAAAAGACAGAAGACUGUUAGCACCGAAGACUGUUCAGGUGAGAUAAUCAGAAAGUUUGUUUGCUUGUUUGCUUGUUUGUUUGUUUGUUUGUUUGUUUGUUUGUUUGUUUUAUUUGAUGCUGUGAUUUCUAGUUUAACCUCUAGUUUGACCUUUACAGUGACCAGCAGCAGUCUAACAACAUCAAACUGGGUGUCUCACAGCUCUAUGCUGGUCAUUUAUUUGAUGAUUCUGUUCGCUCUGUUAGGAGGAUUUCACAUCUACAUCCACACACAAGUCAGGAAAGAAAGAAGAUCAAAACCUGAUGAUGAGGAGAUUUAGUGAAGAACACAGAGCAGAUCUCAUCACAUCUAUAUUACAAUGACUUCAUGAUGUUCAAGAGUUUCACCUGGAUACAGAGUUUAUUUUCACAUAUAGUUUUUUCGUCUUUUACUUUAGUAUGUUGGUUUUGAUUGAUUUCUCAUUGUUUAUGAUACCUAAACUAUUCAAACUUUUUGAGAUGUCUGGUGUUUUACUUUUUUUUUUCUUCUUGCAUUUGCAUUUUGUGAUAUGUGUAAUAUUUUUAGUCAGGGGUGGCAUGGUGGCUCAGUGGUCAGCACUGUCGCUUCACAGCAAAACGAUCACUGGUUCAAGUCUCAGCUGGGCCAGUUGGCAUUUCUGUGUGGAGUUUGCAUGUUCUCCCUGUGUUGGCGUGGGUUUCCAGGUGCUUCGGUUUCCCCCAGAAUCCAAACACAUGCGCUAUAGGUGAAUUGAAUAAGCUAAAUUGGCCAUUGUGUGUGUGUGUGUGUGUGUGUGUGUGUGUGUGUGUGUGUGUGUGUGUGUGAAUGUGAAUGGGUGUGUAUGGGUGUUUCCCAGUCUUGGGAUGCAGCUGGACUUGCAUUCACUGCGUAAAACAUAUGCAGGAAUAGUUGGCGGUUCAUUCCACUGUGGCAACCCCUGAUAAAUAAGCGGCAUAAAAGAAUGAAUAAAUUAAUACUUUGAGCUAUUAUGCAUUUAUUUUUAUUUUGUUGUUCAUUUUAGAUUAUCGCUAAACAGAGCAUUAUUUAAUAAUUGUAAUAUUAAGUCUUCAAUUUAUGGUGAAAUUUAGUUAGAAGAUGUAAUUAUACAUAAUUAAAAUAAAAAGUAGUUUGUUCUUAAUUAAAAUGUGUAAUACAACUAAUUCUCAUUUUAAAGGGACAGUUCACCCACAAAUUGAAUUUUACUCACUAAUUAGUUCCAAACAUUUAUGAGUUUCUUUCUUCUGUUGGAGAUAUUUUGAUAAAUGUUAUAAACUUGUAACCAUUAGAGGAAGAACAAAGUAUGGAAGUCAAUGGUUGGGUUUACAACAUUCUUCAAAUAUCCCCUUUUGCAUUUUAUAGAAUAAAGAAACUCAAACAGGUUUGAAAUAAGAGUGAGUAAAUGAUGACAGAGUUUUCAUCUUUGAGUGAAUUAUCCAUUUAAUUCACAUUAACCACACAUUAGUCACACAAUAUUUGCUUUAUUUGUAAAUGUUAAGAUCUCACGAAGAGAAUUUUCCAUGAUUCUUUGUUUCAAUUUUGUAAAUUCAAUUUUUGAAUGUAUUUAAAGCUGCAGAGAGCAAAAUAUCAUCUAAAUAUAUAUUUUUUCUUUUAUAUGUGGAUUAUACUUUGGGUUUUGUCAUGGUCUUCAGCACAGAGUAACUCAUGUGUUUUUUUCUUAAAUACAGGGCUGCCAACUCAUACAAUACUUUACAUGAUGAGGUUUGUCACGCCAUAGUAAACCAAGUGUUGCAGAACAUGUUUUUGGUUUCUGAUCUUACACCACAUGCCUAUUUUUUCACACUGAGUCAUUUCAAAAAACAACAUUAAAGCAGUUUCUGAGGAUAAAGAGUGUUGUUUCCCUAGGUAAAUGUCAGGUUUUAAUGUGACGUGACAGCUCUUUUAUUGGUGUUUUUUCAAUGGUGGAAACACUGAUUUAGUGACAUGAGACACACACAACAUAUUUCAUAAAGUUCUACUGUGUUUCAGCAUAUUCAUGUUUUAACUUGAUAUUUUGCUUCUGAAUUAAACACUUUUUUUCAUUAAACCUCUUUAGCAGUGUUAUAUAUUUUGCUGACGUAUCUACUUAUGACAUAACAUUAUCUACAUUGUUACAUUAUCUACAUUAUGGCAUUGUUUGUUGUGACUACACGUUCUCUAUAGCGGUGAAAAUGACAUGCUGCACAUUUAAGCUGCCCGCUCUAUCAGUGUGUAGCGUGUGCAUUUUUAAUAACUGUCUCCACAAUAGUUUUCUGGGCUGCAUGGGAUUCUGAAGUCAUUC